UCAAAAGAAAAGACGAUUUCACGAAACGUCUCAAAAACAACAUGAAAACGUCACAAAUUUAGAUGGAAGGAACAGGUCCAACGCAAAGACAAGAUUGAAAAUCCAAGUGAUACGGAAAUGUUUCGCUUUCUCAAUAGCUCAGCUAAGCGUUAAAGUGAAAUUAUCGUACUCUAUUUCGAGUGAUGCACAAGCAUUUAAGCUAUAAUAAAAAUUACGCCACAAAUAACUCGCACGAGACUGCGAUACAAAUUGCUUCAAGCUUACCGCACAUCGUUGCAGAGCGUUGCAGCGAUAGCUUACACCGUCUGAAAGUGGGAAAUCUAGAAGAUAUCCCUGCUGAGAUGCAAAUUUGUUGCCACUAAACGUCGCACUUGAAGCCGGGUACUCAAAUAGUCACUUGAGUUUAGCAGUCUUCUCUAGAACACAAGGCGAAGGACAGAGCUCUAUCCAGAAGACUGAAAAGAAUCAGUCAAUACGAUUCAAACGACAAUAAUAAACUAUUGAGCAGUUUACUUGUUUAUAGGCGACUUGCCGCCCAUGGUGUUGUUUUGGUUUAUACCUUAAUGUGUACCAACAAUAGGAAUGAAAGUGUAAACGACGCACAUCUUCACCUAUUAAAAUGAUGAAGUUGAGUCACGGUUCAUUUUAUGUACCGUCAGUGGCGACGCCAGCCUCCGACAAAUGGUCAUGCAAUCGAGCGGUGGAUUACUGGCCCCCCGUCAAAUAAUAAAAUAAAAAUUUUACAUGUUUGUAAAUGUAGAUCGUCCAGUUACGCCACUGUUCCUGAGGGAAGAUACAACAACAUUACCAACUUGAGCUGGAGUCAAUAUUAGCAUUUAUUCGAAAAACGGAUGGUUUGUGGGCCCGUUUCAGCUUGAACGUGGCAGGAAUGAAUCACAAGAGUGAAUCACAACUCCAUACUAACUCCCAUGAGCUUUGAGAAAACGCAUAUAGGUAAAUGUCAGAGCAUGCAAAAGGAUGUCGAGUACUGAUGUCUUACUUAUUGCCAACGUGGCGCAAACAAGGCAAUGACAUUUAAAUGAUUUAAGAAAAUAGCUAAGAUUUGAACUAAACUUGUCAAUUACAUCUCAUCGUAAAUUUUAGGACGUACCGUAAAAUUGUUUCAGAGGUUUAAUGACGCACUGUACAUUUUUCGUUAUUUUGCUGUAGAGCAUGGGCAUACCGGCUAACCUUUUUUAGGGAGUCUGUGAUGUCGGUACAUUUUCAAUCGUGAAUAACUUAAUUUCCCGACUUUCCAGUCACCCCAGUGACAUUGCAUAUGAAACGCCUAUGCGAAACGCCUAUGCUACUCAGUCUAACGAAUCCAAGAUGAUAAGAGUGAAGAAACCACUUAUCAUUUACAGCUUCGACACUAAAUAUUGUGCUAUAAGCAUAUUUCAUAAAAGAAAACUACCUAAUUUAGACCUUCAACACGGAUAAAUGUACGCAUAAAUGAAUGGUACAUGUUCAGGGGAUCUUUUCUAAAUUUCACCACAGCUUUUCUAUCAUAUGUUAACAUCAUUCGAUGAAGUAAAUAACUCAGAAAUCAUACGUUGAUGGAAUUUAUGUCAACCAAAAGUAAAUAGUUGUACAUGGCG